CACUCUGUCCCGCAUGGGACGGGGUUGAAAGCUCCGGCGGUGAAGGAUGAGCCCGCGGCCUAUCAGCUUGUUGGUGGGGUGAUGGCCUACCAAGGCGACGACGGGUAGCCGGCCUGAGAGGGCGACCGGCCACACUGGGACUGAGACACGGCCCAGACUCCUACGGGAGGCAGCAGUGGGGAAUAUUGCACAAUGGGCGAAAGCCUGAUGCAGCGACGCCGCGUGAGGGAUGACGGCCUUCGGGUUGUAAACCUCUUUCAGCAGGGAAGAAGCGAAAGUGACGGUACCUGCAGAAGAAGCGCCGGCUAACUACGUGCCAGCAGCCGCGGUAAUACGUAGGGCGCAAGCGUUGUCCGGAAUUAUUGGGCGUAAAGAGCUCGUAGGCGGCUUGUUGCGUCGGUUGUGAAAGCCCGGGGCUUAACCCCGGGUCUGCAGUCGAUACGGGCAGGCUAGAGUGUGGUAGGGGAGAUCGGAAUUCCUGGUGUAGCGGUGAAAUGCGCAGAUAUCAGGAGGAACACCGGUGGCGAAGGCGGAUCUCUGGGCCAUUACUGACGCUGAGGAGCGAAAGCGUGGGGAGCGAACAGGAUUAGAUACCCUGGUAGUCCAC
rnacentral:rRNA from 1 species